GCUGAUAUGGCUCAGUUGGUAGAGCGUAUCCUUGGUAAGGAUGAGGUCCCCAGUUCGACUCUGGGUAUCAGCACCA
rnacentral:tRNA from 1 species